GAUGAACGCUGGCGGCGUGCCUAAUACAUGCAAGUCGAGCGAACGGACGAGAAGCUUGCUUCUCUGAUGUUAGCGGCGGACGGGUGAGUAACACGUGGAUAACCUACCUAUAAGACUGGGAUAACUUCGGGAAACCGGAGCUAAUACCGGAUAAUAUUUUGAACCGCAUGGUUCAAAAGUGAAAGACGGUCUUGCUGUCACUUAUAGAUGGAUCCGCGCUGCAUUAGCUAGUUGGUAAGGUAACGGCUUACCAAGGCAACGAUGCAUAGCCGACCUGAGAGGGUGAUCGGCCACACUGGAACUGAGACACGGUCCAGACUCCUACGGGAGGCAGCAGUAGGGAAUCUUCCGCAAUGGGCGAAAGCCUGACGGAGCAACGCCGCGUGAGUGAUGAAGGUCUUCGGAUCGUAAAACUCUGUUAUUAGGGAAGAACAUAUGUGUAAGUAACUGUGCACAUCUUGACGGUACCUAAUCAGAAAGCCACGGCUAACUACGUGCCAGCAGCCGCGGUAAUACGUAGGUGGCAAGCGUUAUCCGGAAUUAUUGGGCGUAAAGCGCGCGUAGGCGGUUUUUUAAGUCUGAUGUGAAAGCCCACGGCUCAACCGUGGAGGGUCAUUGGAAACUGGAAAACUUGAGUGCAGAAGAGGAAAGUGGAAUUCCAUGUGUAGCGGUGAAAUGCGCAGAGAUAUGGAGGAACACCAGUGGCGAAGGCGACUUUCUGGUCUGUAACUGACGCUGAUGUGCGAAAGCGUGGGGAUCAAACAGGAUUAGAUACCCUGGUAGUCCACGCCGUAAACGAUGAGUGCUAAGUGUUAGGGGGUUUCCGCCCCUUAGUGCUGCAGCUAACGCAUUAAGCACUCCGCCUGGGGAGUACGACCGCAAGGUUGAAACUCAAAGGAAUUGACGGGGACCCGCACAAGCGGUGGAGCAUGUGCUUUAAUUCGAAGCAACGCGAAGAACCUUACCAAAUCUUGACAUCCUUUGACAACUCUAGAGAUAGAGCUUUCCCCUUCGGGGGACAAAGUGACAGGUGGUGCAUGGUUGUCGUCAGCUCGUGUCGUGAGAUGUUGGGUUAAGUCCCGCAACGAGCGCAACCCUUAAGCUUAGUUGCCAUCAUUAAGUUGGGCACUCUAAGUUGACUGCCGGUGACAAACCGGAGGAAGGUGGGGAUGACGUCAAAUCAUCAUGCCCCUUAUGAUUUGGGCUACACACGUGCUACAAUGGACAAUACAAAGGGCAGCGAAACCGCGAGGUCAAGCAAAUCCCAUAAAGUUGUUCUCAGUUCGGAUUGUAGUCUGCAACUCGACUACAUGAAGCUGGAAUCGCUAGUAAUCGUAGAUCAGCAUGCUACGGUGAAUACGUUCCCGGGUCU
rnacentral:rRNA from 1 species